rnacentral:rRNA from 1 species
GAUGAACGCUGGCGGCGUGCCUAAUACAUGCAAGUCGAGCGAACAGAUGAGGAGCUUGCUCCUCUGACGUUAGCGGCGGACGGGUGAGUAACACGUGGAUAACCUACCUAUAAGACUGGGAUAACUUCGGGAAACCGGAGCUAAUACCGGAUAAUAUAUUGAACCGCAUGGUUCAAUAGUGAAAGACGGUUUUGCUGUCACUUAUAGAUGGAUCCGCGCCGCAUUAGCUAGUUGGUAAGGUAACGGCUUACCAAGGCAACGAUGCGUAGCCGACCUGAGAGGGUGAUCGGCCACACUGGAACUGAGACACGGUCCAGACUCCUACGGGAGGCAGCAGUAGGGAAUCUUCCGCAAAGGGCGAAAGCCUGACGGAGCAACGCCGCAUGAGUGAUGAAGGUCUUCGGAUCGUAAAACUCUGUUAUUAGGGAAGAACAAAUGUGUAAGUAACUAUGCACGUCUUGACGGUACCUAAUCAGAAAGCCACGGCUAACUACGUG